CCCCAGCCUUCUUCUCCAGAACCCACUUCCACCCAGCAGGCAGCUACAGGUGGCACCCAACGUGGGUCCUGAACAUGGAAGGAACAAUUCGGGGAAACCCUUUCUUGGUGGAGUUCCAAAGAUGGUAUCUGGCACGAUGAUCCCACUAUGACAUUCUCCCUCAACACACACUCAGGGAAACAGGACCAAGGAGCCAUGGAUUCAAGUUUCCAAAAGUCACUGUGAGCCUGAGCUCAAACAGUAGGUGAAAGAAACCAAAGUAAGGAUCCCACAGAGAUACUGAGAGUAAAUAAGAUGAUUUAAGAACUAUGAAGAAACAAGCAAUGACCUAACUGUACCUUAAAGUGUAGAGAACUCGACCAUCAUUCCAAAUUCUCAGCAUCCUGUUGGGAGUGGUGAUCCAGUGAGCAUCAGCCUUUUUGGAGUUCCUGAAGAAAGUGUCUGGAAUCCAGAUUUUCCCCACCAUAUUGCUAUUCAAACGGAGAACUUUAAUGGUACUGUUAAAUUUCAAACGUCUGUCAUACCAGGUUUGGGCAAAAAAAAUAUCAAUUGUAUAUUCCUGUUUUAAAAAGAACAGAAGAUUUAAAAUGUUUAUUUCUUUUUUUAAUCUUGUGCUUACUGCCAGUAUGAGACAGCAUGGAAUAGUGCAACAGGAAACAAUAGCUUUGCUGGAGAGGUCUCUACCUCAACCGUCUUUUACUCCAGUUUCAGACAUCUAUGAGUUCGGGCCAAAUCUCCAAACCCUGGUAACUUCCUUCCUUCAUACACAUACAAAACAAGAAGCCAGACCACUAUUUGCUAGGGAGAAGUAGAGGUGGGCGCUUCCUUAUCCACUGUAGGAUAUUUAGCAUGACCUCUGCCUCUAUAUCCCAGAUACCAAUGUUACCUAAAAGAAUAAUUGUUCCACAUUCACUACUGUAGAGCAAAUUGAAGCCCUAUGCAUCCAAUAUACUUAAAUGGAGUUGUAGGUUCAGCUGCCUUACAAUAAAAGAAAGGCUCUAAAGAUGCCCAAUGGUUACCCCUGUGAAAAUGUAUAAAAUGCUUUGCCCCCUGACAAAUAGCAAAUUCAAAAGACAACAUACUAGAAGUUACGACUGUUUAUUCCACUUCUCUAAAUACGAUUAGUAUAAUUAAAUCGCUUACUUUGCUUAGCUAUGCCAUGCUUUUAUUUGUGAGUGGAUUCGAAUAAAGUUAUUUUAUUAAGAUAGUAGUAGUAGUGAUUCUUAUGCUGAAUUAAUCUCUCUAAUGAAGCAUAUUCUUAAAUGUAAUAAUGACAGGUGAACAUAACAAUUCACUAUAAGAGCCUAUCAAAUAUAAGGCGGGUGACUUCAGACAAAGAGAAGCAAGUACUGUGUGACAUUUAGACCUGCAGGGCUAGAAUUAGAAAACAGUGGAUCUGGUGAGGCUGCCACAUUCAUAGGCAGUCCCAAGGAAAUCCUUCUUUAUUAGCUGUGCUUUGUUUCCCUCUAUUUAUAAAAGAAAAACUAACCCUAAUACAUGGGUCCACCUUCAAGGUCCCGGAUACUUGUCUGAGCAUUUUGACUUUGUCAACAGCAUGAGAGUUUUUAAUGAAAAACAAAACCCUGCUGACAUUUUGUGUGGUUUUUGUUGUUGCUUUUGUUUACUUGUUGGUUUUAGUUUUUGUGAUUCUUCAGCACUUCAGAAAUCCUUCCUUUGGAUCAGUUUCUGAAUGUGUGUUUUUCAGGUGUCCACUCAUUUAAGAAACCACUGUACAUCAAUAAU